CACGUAGGCGGGCAAUUAAGUCAGAGGUGAAAUCCCACAGCUCAACUGUGGAACUGCCUUUGAUACUGGUUGUCUUGAGUUACAGUGAAGUAGAUAGAAUAUGUAGUGUAGCGGUGAAAUGCAUAGAUAUUACAUAGAAUACCGAUUGCGAAGGCAGUCUACUAACUGUAUACUGACGCUAAUGGACGAAAGCGUGGGGAGCGAACAGGAUUAGAUACCCUGGUAGUCC
rnacentral:rRNA from 1 species